rnacentral:sRNA from 1 species
AGAGCCUGUGUGCCUCUCUCGGUUUGGUGUGGCUGUGAUUUUUGACGCGUGGUUUAAAUGUGCCUUCUUGUUGUUUUCCUUCUGCCUGUGGCUCCCACCUUUCUGUUCUGUGACGGGCUGUCCCUGCUUGUCCUGCUUUAGGAGAACUGUUUUGAGCUCUACAAUCCCAGCCACAAAGGGCAGGUCAUCAAGGCCUGUAAGACGGAGGCCGACGGCCGCGUGGUAGAGGGGAACCAUGUGGUGUACCGGAUCUCAGCCCCCAGCCCGGAGGAGAAGGAGGAGUGGAUGAAAUCCAUCAAAGCCAGUAUCAGCAGAGAUCCCUUCUAUGACAUGUUGGCAACGAGGAAACGAAGGAUUGCCAAUAAAAAAUAGCUUUCCUGGCUAAAAGACCCAGGUAAAAGACCCAACCCCAGCAGAAAGACACCGCGGGCGGCCCCUCCGCGGAAGGCGUGGCAGGGAGGCAGUCGCCCUGCGGUGCAAGCUGCUUCUCCAGAGCAUACCGUGGCCCAGGUGGCAUCCCCAAGGCCUCGUGCCGUGGCUGGGGUCCUGGGAGGUGGUCGCCCUGCAGUGCAAGCU